rnacentral:rRNA from 1 species
AAUGAACGCUGGCGGCAGGCCUAACACGUGCAAGUCGAACGGAUCCUUCGGGAUUAGUGGCGGACGGGUGAGUAACGCGUGGGAACAUACCCUUUGGUACGGAAUAGCCUCGGGAUACUGGGAGUAAUACCGUAUGUGGUCGAGAGACGAAAGAUUUAUCGCCAAAGGAUUGGCCCGCGUUGGAUUAGGUAGUUGGUGGGGUAAUGGCCUACCAAGCCGACGAUCCAUAGCUGGUUUGAGAGGAUGAUCAGCCACACUGGGACUGAGACACGGCCCAGACUCCUACGGGAGGCAGCAGUGGGGAAUUUUAGACAAUGGGGGAAACCCUGAUCUAGCCAUGCCGCGUGAUCGAUGAAGGCCUUAGGGUUGUAAAGAUCUUUCAGGUGGGAAGAUAAUGACUGUACCACCAGAAGAAGCCCCGGCUAACUCCGUGCCAGCCGCCGCAGUAAUAC